AUUGAACGCUGGCGGCAGGCUUAACACAUGCAAGUCGAGCGGAGAUGAGGUGCUUGCACCUUAUCUUAGCGGCGGACGGGUGAGUAAUGCUUAGGAAUCUGCCUAUUAGUGGGGGACAACAUUCCGAAAGGAAUGCUAAUACCGCAUACGUCCUACGGGAGAAAGCAGGGGAUCUUCGGACCUUGCGCUAAUAGAUGAGCCUAAGUCGGAUUAGCUAGUUGGUGGGGUAAAGGCCUACCAAGGCGACGAUCUGUAGCGGGUCUGAGAGGAUGAUCCGCCACUCUGGGACUGAGACACGGCCCAGACUCCUACGGGAGGCAGCAGUGGGGAAUAUUGGACAAUGGGCGCAAGCCUGAUCCAGCCAUGUCGCGUGUGUGAAGAAGGCCUUAUGGUUGUAAAGCACUUUAAGCGAGGAGGAGGCUACUUUAGAUAAUACCUAGAGAUAGUGGACGUUGCUCGCAGAAUAAGCACCGGCUAACUCUGUGCCAGCCGCCGCCGUAAUAC
rnacentral:rRNA from 1 species